GAACGCUGGCGGCAUGCUUUACACAUGCAAGUCGAACGGCAGCGGGGGCUUCGGCCUGCCGGCGAGUGGCGAACGGGUGAGUAAUGCAUCGGAACGUGCCCAUGUCGUGGGGGAUAACGUAUCGAAAGGUACGCUAAUACCGCAUACGUCCUGAGGGAGAAAGCGGGGGAUCGCAAGACCUCGCGCGAUUGGAGCGGCCGAUGUCGGAUUAGCUAGUAGGUGAGGUAAAGGCUCACCUAGGCGACGAUCCGUAGCGGGUCUGAGAGGAUGAUCCGCCACACUGGGACUGAGACACGGCCCAGACUCCUACGGGAGGCAGCAGUGGGGAAUUUUGGACAAUGGGGGCAACCCCUGAUCCAGCCAUGCCGCGUGAGUGAAGAAGGCCUUCGGGUUGUAAAGCUCUUUCGGCCGGGAAGAAAUCGUGUUCU
rnacentral:rRNA from 1 species